GACGAACGCUGGCGGCGUGCUUAACACAUGCAAGUCGAACGACGAAGCCCAGCUUGCUGGGUGGAUUAGUGGCGAACGGGUGAGUAACACGUGAGUAACCUGCCCUGGACUCUGGGAUAACCCCGAGAAAUCGGAGCUAAUACCGGAUAGGACCUUGGAUCGCAUGAUUCUUGGUGGAAAGUUUUUCGGUUUGGGAUGGACUCGCGGCCUAUCAGCUUGUUGGUGAGGUAAUGGCUCACCAAGGCGUCGACGGGUAGCCGGCCUGAGAGGGUGACCGGCCACACUGGGACUGAGACACGGCCCAGACUCCUACGGGAGGCAGCAGUGGGGAAUAUUGCACAAUGGGCGCAAGCCUGAUGCAGCAACGCCGCGUGCGGGAUGACGGCCUUCGGGUUGUAAACCGCUUUUAGUAAGGAAGAAGGGGCUUCGGCCUUGACGGUACUUGCAGAAAAAGGACCGGCUAACUACGUGCCAGCCGCCGCCGUAA
rnacentral:rRNA from 1 species